GCCGAAGCGCGGAAGGAGAGGAUCAUACCGCCAUAGAUUAAAGUAGCCAAAGUUGGGUGGGAAAGGCUAAAGACCGAAAUGCGGAAGUAGAGGAUUAUGCCACCGUGAAUUAAAGCAGGCAAAGCUGGACUAAAGGCCGAAAGGCAGGAGGAAAGAUGAGAUCCCCCCGUUUUUCAAACCCGUGAUUACGAUGUUUAAUCGGCAAGGGGCACCGGUAACGGGUUUCUCGUCCACGUGGAUUGUAAAACAGGUUUCCCCGUCGGGUUGAACAGGGCAAGGGGAGAGCGCAGCUCCGGUCAGUUGUGCUGGUGAGGGCAGUUUGGGCCCCGGGUGGGGCGCGAGAGUGCUGGCAGGCUAGGCGGGGGCGUGCUUAGAGGUCCGCGUAGGCUGCGGGAGGAGGAGUUUUGGGAGUGGGUGAAAUCGAAGACCGGAAGAAGAGAGGAGAAGGUGGAAGGGGAGGGCAGGGAGGAGGGCUCUGGCCGCGGCGGGCUAGAGGGCUAGACGAGCGAGGCCGGGCGGCUCCUAGGUGCGCCCCGCGAGGGCUAAACUCCGCGGCCACCAGACGCGGACCUAGUCCACCCGCACCCCCGCGCACCCUAAGCGCCGGGUACCGGUUGGGGCUGCUGCCGCCGCCCGCGUUCAAGACCGCGAGGCGCAGCACCAGCCGCAGCGCCCGGCGGCUCCGCCGCCCCGGCCUCCGCCGCGGCGAGGGCGGGGCCUACCCGGGCGGCGGCGAGUGGGGCGCCAGCUUUCCGGCCCGGACGGAGGGCGGCGACGUCGGCGAGCGGUAGUGAGCGGCGUCGGACCUGCUCACCGGGUUCCGCCCGAGGCUGCUGCACCCGCUCACCGGGUUGGGGUGGUGGGGCCCGCGCAGGUUCCGCCCGCCGCCGCCGGGCCCGAGUCGGUUCGGGCCCCUCCCGGAGGCCGAGCUGGAGAGGUGGGAGGCGAGCGUCCCGGCGUUCCUGGUCUAGCGGAAGAAGCUGUUCCUCACGAGGUUCCACCGGCUCGUGCACAUGGAGCCGCCGCUGCGGCAGCGGUUCUUGGCGCUGUAGGACGCGUUCUUGCCGUAGUGGGUGCAGGAGUUGACGCAGCCGAAGCAGACGGGGCUCAUGAAGUUCAGCCUGGAGCAGAUGGCGUGCGAGACCGACGUCCUGUCGGGUUGGCUCCUGUAGUGGUCGUAGGACAUGCUGCACAAACUAAUGAAGCUCCUGCACUCCCUCGUCCGGCCCGCGCACAAGCACGUAACGACGGUCCCCCACAGCGCGAGCUGUAGCGACCACUAUCGCAUAAACUACACCUCCCUUCCCGUCUCGAAGCUGCUGCGGAAGGUCAAACACUUCCGGCGAUCCCCCUAGCGCUUAGGCUUGUACCCCAAACGGACGGUCGACGAGGUCACGGUCUUCGCCCACGUACGGUAAGGAGACAGGGGUUUGAGUCACGAGUCCUACAUAGCCAACCGCGGAGUGAGGGGGAUACGAGGUGACGUAGAUCACGGGUUUUACGACUUACUCGGGAGCGGACGGCGGGAGCUGAGGUCCCCACGUAAGUAUCAAGUACACGAGAGCAGCUAAAUACAAACCCAACCUUAAUUUACACUAUGUCACUACCUCUUCCUACGCUCUCGCCGUCGAAAAGUCCACCACUCCAUACUCUUCCACGUCCCCGUCUAGUUUCAACAGUCUCUUCCCAACCUCGUUGGACUUAAAACCCUGCGGAAAAGGUCACGUGGACAAUUAAGUCUGUCGUUUUACUUCGAACCGUUCCUCGUCUAGCUAAGCGGUAGGUCCUGACCGCACCCUUCGGCCUCUCAGCUUAGAAUACUAAGACUAAAACUCGAGCAGGUCUUUCGCUAUCGACCCCCACAACAAGGUCGCAAGAGCAGAAGACCAUGACCUCUACUCUGGGUAGAAGGUCGCUCCCUCUCAUCGACCUCAAAUGAUUCCGCGUUCAAAUAGAGCUCUAGUGAUAGAGCUCAAAUAAGUCUAAGACGAGACUAUUCCCUAAACCUAGGUGCCCAUGUCGUGAACUGACGUCUCCGUAGUUAUAGUGGCGGAAAGGAAAGAGGCUCGAGAGAUAGUAGUCUAAGUUGGUAAUCGAGUUUCAGAGGAGAAGCGGUCAGUAGAUUACGCCUUGUAAGUUUCGGACAGGACCCUAGUUAUGCGAGAGGUAGGUUCCAGAGUAGAUAUCGUCUUUCUUCUCCACCUAAAAGUCCAGACUUCGAUGGUAGUGAGGGUUUCCUCGAUCAUAACGGUGGUUCCCGCGGUAGAUAAGUGUUUCGUCUCCUUCAGUGCCUAUUCUGAUUAUGGUUACCACACUUUGUCGAAUGACCACAAAGAACGGGUCUCUUUACGUGGCCUUGAUCAAGUUGUCGUUGACUGUCGUUGAGUCUCCGAUGACAGGUGCCACUCUGGUAUAAUUAACUCGUAUGAUUGAGUCUCCGGACAUUAAUACAAGUUGAUGAUCAGAUGGCUACCGGGACGUACCUCUUCGACUGACGUAAGCGAGCGUUCCUAGAACUGGGUUUUUGUCAAAAAUAAAAACAACGAGGAUUUCGGUCGUCUUCACGUCUUCUUCAAUUUUGCCAUACGCACACCCAUCCUCCACUUAUACUCACAUCGUUUCCACAACUGUCAUAACUAACCGUCGUUCAACGACCACUAAAAGAAUUAGUCUUCCCCAAGUCGUUAUGAGAAGGACAAUUCCAAAAGUUCCUCGUACUUUGGCUCUUAGAAAACCUCCAAGACCUACGAGCAAUUGUCAUCCAGUCCCAUAAGAUGAUCGAAUUGUUUGUCGGCGUUUGAUAGUUAAGUUACUUCCGUAAAGGAGGUCGUAGCGAGGUACAUCACCGCUGACAGUCCGCUCCAUAUUCGGCACUGUUGGCAAGGGAGGACUUGUAUAUCCGAUGUCUAAGGUAAAAUCAUCUUGUCUACCUAACCGUUAAACACGGAACGGAAAAAAAAAAGUCUGAACGAACACAGUUUUACCGUCCUCCGACGGUCUCGCAACAUAGACACACUUAAUUGUGUGUCUCUAACCCAAAACCGCGUUGGCCCACAUAUAAUAGACGAAGUGACAUUACAUUCGGGUAUCCGGCCCUCUAGCGACCACAGCAAAAAUGGGGGACUUUUAGUACAUGUAGAGUCCCUUCUUGCCUAAACAUUAGGAGAACCGGAUGUCCGCAGAGACGACGACCAGAAUUGAAAAUUGGAACUUGGGCCGAUAAACGACAGGACCAGUACAGCAUAAUCGUUACAUGAAGUCUGAGACCAGUAUAAGUAUGAACGAUAGUAGUAUGUUUCAAGGGUCAAAGGUUCUUUAACGGUAAAUUAAAACAAUAACGAACAGGAACAGUUUAAGUACGUCGGUUAUAAGGUUCCUUGUGAACGUGUCUUAAACACACGACUAGGAAAGUUAACGAUAAGUCAAAAAGAAGAAGUUAAACAAUCACUGUCUGUCCCACGCUUAAACAAACACGAAAAGUCUUCGGAAGAAGGCACACCAUUUUACCCUAUCACACCUCCAACCUCUGCCUUUCGUUUCGUAGGCACACCAUUUUACCCUAUCACACCUCCAACCUCUGCCUUUCGUUUCGUUUGUGACCAAGCCCUUGUAAAAAUCAUAAAUAAAAUCCUUGUAUCAAGUACAUUUAAUUUUGUACACCACGGUAUGUUAAGGCUCUUUUGGUUUUAAUGAAUUUGGUACUUUCUUAUGGUUCCUUCCUAAUGUAAUU
rnacentral:rRNA from 1 species